AUGUUUUUAAAUGUCUAUCUAAUGAUGAAUUAGAUAUUAAAGAAAGCAUGGGGACCCUCGCGUGGCCUCAUAGUUGAUCUCUUACUUCCCACACAGGAGUUGCAGCACUGCACAGAGACAGAGAAGUUGGACCUGAACUAGCCUGAAAGAUAGGGCGGGAAACUUACUAAAACAUUACGUCAGAACUCAUGGACCCCAGCUAUGACACAGGGACAGCGCCUCUGCCCUGGGACUUCGUAGCGUGUGAUGGAUGACCUCCACUUAGACAAACCAAAACAGGCACGCUCAAAGGCCAGGCCGGUGCAAAAGCUGUUCAUUUUACAAACGUAGGGAUGGAUUCCAGGGCAUCCUACAAAAAAGUGUUCAGCUACCGAGCUAUAGACACCCUCAGCCUCCUGAGUGUUUACACUGAGACUCCUCUGCACUCCAUCGCUUCUUUCAACCCAGCAAUGGCAAGUGUUGGCAGUGAUGAUGACGUUUCUGCUCUCAUUCUACUGUCAUCUGGAUCCAUGUCCAGGACCCCAGUCAAUGGCUGUCACUCCAAGAUGGCCCCCAGCUCAGAGUGCACCUUUGGGUUGGGAAGUCCUGAGAAGAGACAAGGGAAUUGCUGGAAACAGCAGGUUCUUUCUCUGUUGGUUUCAUCUAACACUCAGCCGCAUGCAUCUGCCCAAGUCUCAGCCCCAGCGCGACGCACUCUUUCAUCUCAACUCUUCGGGAAAUGCUGAGUCCCCACUGCAGGCUUAGGAAAACAUAACUGUGUCUGUUCAGGUGCAGUCAGCUUCAGCAAACUUAUUCUGUCGUGUCAGGUACCUCAGAAGAUGUUUGCCCUUGUGUUUACAGAUGGGAUCAGGCUGGUGUUAAAUGAGUCACACGGCCCCACCCAAUCAACUUUGCUCCAGAUAUUCGAGCAACCAGUUGAACUCCUUAGCAUAGUGAGAGUCUACACACAGUCUUAUUCCAAAACUAAACAUCUAGGGACCCCAGCUUUGACGGCUACAACUUAAUUUCCCUGAAUAAACAGAA